AUGCAUGUCUAAGUACAAACUUUGACACAGUGAAACCGCGAAUGGCUCAUUAGAUCAGUUAUGGUUCCUUAGAUCGUUCACUCCUACUUGGAUAACUGUGGUAAUUCUAGAGCUAAUACAUGCCUGUCAGCUCCGACCCUCGCGGGGAAGAGCGCUUUUAUUAGAUCAAGACCAAUCGGGUUGACUCUGUUGGCCCGUUUUGUUGGUGACUCUGGAUAACUUUGUGCUGAUCGCACGGCCUCGAGCCGGCGACGUAUCUUUCAAAUGUCUGCCCUAUCAACUUUCGUUGGUACGCGAUAUGCCUACCAAGGUUGUAACGGGUAACGGGGAAUCAGGGUUCGAUUCCGGAGAGGGAGCAUGAGAAACGGCUACCACA
rnacentral:rRNA from 1 species